UCUUCCCUCAGGUCAGAAAAGCUCCGCAUCCAGCCCUAUUAGCAGGGGCAGAAACAGACGCCAGGAGACACUGCCCACCUCCUGGGAAUCGGAAUCAGCCUUCACAGCACCAGGAGCCUGGGGUGGGCUGCUGUUUCUGUAAGGUUUUAAAAAGUCAGAGAGCACAGAGUUCUUCCGGAGCCUAUUCUGACUCCUCCUGAGUUUUGUUCACGUGAGAUAAUAUCCUCCUGGGAAAAAAUCUUGAUGGAAAGCCAAGGCCCCCCUGCUGGCUGCAAGAAACCGGAAUUCGGCCUUUUCGGCGCGCACCCGGACACGGCGCUGGGAUGAAGGCGCCCAGUUCAUGCCCAGCCAGGGCCUGCAGGGACAACGGGAUGGUCACAGGACGGCUGCCUCAGCUCCAAACAGCAACAUCUGAAGGAGAAAGCUGCAGGCCCGGACUGGAUGGCUUUGGCUAAGGAACCAACGCAGGUGGAGAAGGAGGCUGACGAUGGAGCCCAGGCACUCCAGCCUUGAAGGAGGAGAACCUGACCCUGAGCCUGCAUGGCAGCCGUGCGGGGGGACUUCGGGGGGUUUCCCCUUUGCUUCCAUCCAAAGAAAGUGCCCCACGUUUGAAAGCCUCUGUGCUGAAUGCUCCCAAUGCCCUCCGAUUCCAUCUAGGUCGUCCCUACCACCAAGGCAGGUGUGUGAAUUCACCCGCACAGCUCACCGUCCUGGGAGGGUGACGCUGGAGGAGGGACGUCCCUACCAUCAAGGCAGGUGUGUGAAUUCACCCGCACAGUUCACCGUCCUGGGAGGGUGACGCUGGAGGAGGGACGUCCCUACCAUCAAGGCAGGUGUGUGAAUUCACCCGCACAGUUCACCGUCCUGGGAGGGUGACGCUGGAGGAGGGACAUCCCUACCAUCAAGGCAGGUGUGUGAAUUCACUCGCACAGUUCACCGUCCUGGGAGGGUGACGCUGGAGUAGGGAUGUCCCUCCGGGGUCUCUUCAGCAUCUGCCCUUCUCCACCACAUAAGUUCGUCAGUGAGGGGGAGUCACGCAGCUGGGAGCAUGGAGUGCAGUGCGCAGGCCCCUUGCCCGGGGCCAGGCUCCCUCUGCCUCAUUGCCGCUAAGAGGCUGCCCUUUCUGGCCUGGACAUCUCCUGGGACUGUGGGCCCUCACAGCCCUGGGCAGUCUGGACAGGACGGACUGUGCUUCUCAUGGGGCAGCACUUCCUCCACUGCAGACGCUGCCACCUGCCCCCUCCCUCCCUGCUGGAAGCCUCUGGUCUCCAGGC
rnacentral:lncRNA from 10 species